rnacentral:rRNA from 1 species
CUGCUGCCUCCCGUAGGAGUUUGGACCGUGUCUCAGUUCCAAUGUGGGGGACCUUCCUCUCAGAACCCCUAUCCAUCGAAGACUAGGUGGGCCGUUACCCCGCCUACUAUCUAAUGGAACGCAUCCCCAUCGUCUACCGGAAUACCUUUAAUCAUGUGAACAUGUGAACUCAUGAUGCCAUCUUGUAUUAAUCUUCCUUUCAGAAGGCUGUCCAAGAGUAGACGGCAGGUUGGAUACGUGUUACUCACCCGUGCCG